rnacentral:rRNA from 1 species
GCACGGGGGCAACCCUGGUGGCGAGUGGCGAACGGGUGAGUAAUGCAUCGGAACGUGCCCAGUAGUGGGGGAUAACUAGUCGAAAGAUUAGCUAAUACCGCAUACGACCUAUGGGUGAAAGCGGGGGACCUUUACCGGCCUCGCGCUAUUGGAGCGGCCGAUGUCUGAUUAGCUAGUUGGCGGGGUAAGAGCCCACCAAGGCGACGAUCAGUAGCUGGUCUGAGAGGACGACCAGCCACACUGGGACUGAGACACGGCCCAGACUCCUACGGGAGGCAGCAGUGGGGAAUUUUGGACAAUGGGCGCAAGCCUGAUCCAGCCAUGCCGCGUGCGGGAAGAAGGCCUUCGGG